rnacentral:misc_RNA from 1 species
GUAGAUAUUAGGAACUAACGAAAUAGUAAUAGUAUUACUAAUACAAUUAUAAGAGAAGCUGAAUCAUUACACUGAUAUCGAAACUACUUAUUCUAAAGAGAACCCCACAGGCAAAUGUGCAUAUGAAAUGAAAGCUGAACAAAGAUAUGAACAUAUAUGAACACCUUGAUAGUUUUUUAUAUACAUAAUAAAGUAAGUAGCUGAAAUCACACCAGAUAGAGACUAGCACGAUACAACACGCGUAGCUGCUUAAGAUAUAGCACGCUUUUAUCCUCCUCAUCCUUUCGGAUAUCAGCUAAAACUUGGGAAGAUAAACUUUAGACAUCUACAAUCUUCAGUUUUUCUCUGCUCAUGUACCAUAUAUGGAUUAUCAGGGCAUAACCGAGCUAUGCUGUCCUUGCGUUGCCAUCUGCUCAAAUCUUUAGCCAUGACUUAUCAGAAAUCAAAAUUGAAACUAUAUGAGCAAACUUAUACAGGGAUAACAUCAGCAUUUUGACUGUCGUCACAUGUCAAGAUGAGACCUUCGAUGUAAGUAGGGAGAAGACAACGGGUCCAUUGACAACCAGUUGAAAUAGGGUCUACUGGUGGAACAAUCAUUAGGAUGUUCUCAUGGCGCCUUACAAGCCCCAUUACACUUACAGUGCUUCCUUCUUUGAUGUAACCUUCUUUGAGGCGCAUUAUGCGGUCAUCACUUGAGAGGCUCCGAUCAGCAAGCCAGCGCAGGAAGUUGGGAGACAACUCUUUGUUAUUCUUUGUUACAUCAAUGACUGUAGUUGGCUUGACAAAUGGGACAACUUUUGCUCCAUAACCUGCCUUCACCAUAGCUCUUAAUCCAGACUGGAAGUCUGAGAUGUAGAAAUCAGCCACAUGUUUCUCUGAAUGCCUGCUUCCCCAUGAGAAGCAACGGUGGCUAGGAUUUGCUGAUUUUCCACCCCAACCUUUGUACUCGUCCAGUUCUGUUGAAGCAUAUACACAUCUCGCUGUCCGCUGAAAAGAAGUUUCAAGUGGGAUACUUCCACAAGUGACAACCCCAGUGACCUUGACAAAUUGUCCAUCAAUGGCACCUCUAAGCUCAGCAUCAGGAUAUCUCUUCAGAUAACCCAACAAUCCUCGUUCUUUAUACGCAAAAUUCCAAAGUAAAAUCACCACCAAUGGAGCUAAAAUUCCAGCUACUGCAACAAGAAUUACCGCCUUUUUCACCGCCACCAUCAGAAAAGCACCCACUACUAAACCCAUCAACACAACCACCAGAAACACCCACAUUGCCACUUUUGAAACCUUAAAACCCAGCUUUAUCUCAUCAUUUAAGCUCGUCACUGACGAACCAUACACAACUUUCUUAAACGAAGCAGCCGGUUCAAGCUGACCCGACCUCCGACCAGUGUUUGAACUCAACGGACCGGAAGUAAUCAGACCAGUAGGUUGAAUCGGAGUCAUAAGCUGACCGGAGAAAGACCCAGAUGAUUUCUUAGGCAUCGAACCGGAAUUAGUGAGUUUAUGCCCAACCGAACCGGAAUUAGGACCGGAUCUCACGGAUCCACUGUUAUGCUGUGAAGCAGAUGAUCCUCUUGACGAAGGUUUCAAAAUUGGUGGUGGGCCCGGGUAGUCCCCAACACCGUACAUUUUCCCAAGCUCGCCGGACUUCUUGAUAUCACCGCCGGUGUACGGCACUGCGCGUGAACCCAUUGUAGGCUGACGUUCCUUGAGCUGUUCGGGUCGACCCGAGACUAUCAACCCGUUGCUUAGCUGGUGUGACCCGGUUCGAGAACCCAUUUUUUAGAGAGAGAAAGUAUGUGUUUGAGAGUGUGAAGUUGCAGAAGCAGAGUGUUUUAGAGUGAGA